GGUUUAUGAUUUAGGGUUUAGGGUUUAGGGAUUAGAGUUUAGGGUUUAGAGUUUAAGGGUGGGGUUUAGGGUUUAGGGUUUAGAGUUAAGGGGUGGGGUUUAGGAUUUAGAGUUUAGGGUUUAGGAUUUAGGGUUUAGGGUUUAGAGUUUAGGUUUUAGGGUUUAGAGUUGGGGAGUGGGGUUUUGGGAUAAGAUUUCAAAUUUUGCAAAAUAAAAAAAAAAAUUUAAAUUUUUCAAAAGAUAAAAUGCUAUUUUUGUCGUUUUUGUUUUUGAGGGCUAUUUUUGUGAUAUAAACUUAGAAAUGUGCUAUUUUGGAGAUUUGCCCUUUUCAAAAUGAAAAAAAAUCUAUUUUGAUCAUUUUUUUUUAGAGAAAAAGACAAAAAUAGCACUAAAUCAAGUUUUUGUUCCCAAACUAGCACUUAAGGUUAAAAGUCACAAAAAUAGCACUUAAUGUUUUAUCAAAAGUCACAAACUUAGGGUUUAGAGUUAAAGGGUGAGGUUUAGGAUUUAGGGUUUAGGGUUUAGAGUUUAGGGUUUAGGGUUAGAUUUUAGGGUUUAGGGUUUAGGAUUUAGGGUUUAAGGUUUAGGAUUUAGGGUUUAGGGUUUAGAGUUUAGGUUUUAGGGUUUAGAGCUGGGGAGUGGGGUUUUGGGAUAAGAUUUCAAAUUUUGCAAAAUAAAAAAAAAAAUUUAAAUUUUUCAAAAG
rnacentral:lncRNA from 1 species